GGAGAGAUGGCAGAGUGGUCGAAUGCGGUGGUCUUGAAAACCAUUGUGCCGAAAGGUACCGGGGGUUCGAAUCCCUCUCUCUCCGCCA
rnacentral:tRNA from 2 species